UACGGAGGGGGCUAGCGUUGUUCGGAAUUACUGGGCGUAAAGCGCGCGUAGGCGGCUUUGUAAGUUAGAGGUGAAAGCCCGGAGCUCAACUCCGGAAUUGCCUUUAAGACUGCAUCGCUAGAAUCAUGGAGAGGUGAGUGGAAUUCCGAGUGUAGAGGUGAAAUUCGUAGAUAUCAGGAGGAACACCGAUGGCGAAGGCAGGUCACUGGGCCGCAACUGACGCUGAGGAGCGAAAGCAUGGGGAGCGAACAGG
rnacentral:rRNA from 1 species